UGAGGAAUUUUGCGCAAUGGGCGAAAGCCUGACGCAGCGACGCCGCGUGGACGAUGAAGGCCUUCGGGUUGUAAAGUCCUGUCAGGAGGGACGAAGUGGUUCAUCCCAUGACGGUACCUCCAGAGGAAGCCCCGGCUAACUACGUGCCAGCAGCCGCGGUAAGACGUAGGGGCCAACCGUUGUCCGGGGUUCCUGGGCGUAAAGAGCUGGUAGGCGGCUCUUUAAGUCGGGUGUGAAAGCCCUCGGCUCAACCGAGGAAUUGCAUUCGAUACUGAAGGGCUAGAGUCUGGUAGAGGAAAGCGGAAUUCCCGGUGUAGCGGUGAAAUGCGCAGAUAUCGGGAAGAACACCGGUGGCGAAGGCGGCUUUCUGGGCCAUGACUGACGCUGAGGAGCGAAAGCUAGGGUAGCAAACAG
rnacentral:rRNA from 1 species